CCCACAUUGCUGAAGCUAUUUUCAGCGCGGUUAAAAUUAAACCGCGUUAUCUCAAUCAGCCCCGCUGGGGCGCACGGCUGCGCCGAUUUCUUUCGGGGGGCAUGGGGAGACGGCGGAGCAACGUUCCGGGGUUCUACCGGGCGCGGCAGGGAUGCCCGCGACCCCUGCCCACCUGGAUAAGUGGUCGAGUCCGGCGCUGCUAUGAGAUCACGCUGUCCAUCACAGGGGCUCACUCUGCUCUUCCCUUCUCGAGAGGAGGAAUUGGAGACACUGCUGCUGAACCUGGAGCGUGCUACUAAGAGGUGGGGCCUUACCAUCAGCGCCACCAAACUAAGUACCUGCCCGGGGAAAAACCAGAGGACCCGGAGAAAAAUCCACGCGUCCACGGGG